CCGGUGGGGGCAGGGUUCUGUCUCUUUUCAGCUGGAUGCCGGCGGUGCUUUCCUGCAUCGCUGCUAUGGAGACAAAGCACAGGAGAGGUGGUCUCCAAGCAAACUCUGAAAGUGACUCCGAGGAAAAUGGAUCCUGGAAACAUGUUCAACUGCAUGCUUCAAGAUCAUGCCUGACCCAGACUUUGGAGUGGGGACUUGAGAGAUCACACCAGGACGUGUGGGUGCAGACAGGAGUAAGAAAAAUAUGAUCCCAGUCAUCUCCUUAAUGGCCAGGAAAUGGAAAGAGAUACCAAGAGAUUGGGACUGUACAAUUCCCGUCAAAGACAAGCUGCUAAUGACCUAAGAGGUAUUGACUAGGCUCCAUCUCCCGAAGGUUCCAGCACUUCCUAAUAGCACCACCACAGCCGUCAAGCAUGGACA